rnacentral:rRNA from 1 species
UACGUAGGGUCCGAGCGUUGUCCGGAAUUAUUGGGCGUAAAGGGCUCGUAGGCGGUCCGUCGCGUCGGGAGUGAAAACUCGGAGCUUAACUCUGAGCCUGCUUCCGAUACGGGCAGACUAGAGGUAGGCAGGGGAGAGCGGAACUCCUGGUGUAGCGGUGGAAUGCGCAGAUAUCAGGAAGAACACCCGUGGCGAAGGCGGCUCUCUGGGACGGUACUGACGCUGAGACGCGAAAGCGUGGGAGCAAACAGG